AUUUCUUGUAAAUGAUGUUCUGAAACACCAAGCUAUAUUACUAGGAAAUGCAGAAGAGCAGAAAAAGAAAAAGUCUUUGGGAUACCAUUAAAAAGAAGAAAAUUUCAGCCUCUACAAGUCACAACAGAAGGGUUUCAAAUAUUCAGAAUGUUAAUAAAACAUUUAGUGUUUCCCAAAAAGUUGACAGAGUUAGGAGCCCACUACAAGCUUGUGAAAACUUGGCUAUGAAUGAAGGCGGUCCCCCAACAGAAAACAAUUCUUUAAUACUUGAAGAAAAUAAAAUACCCAUAUCACCUAUUAGCCCUGCUUUCAAUGAAUGCCAUGGUGCAACUUGCUUGCCACUCUCUGUACGUCGAUCUACUACCUACUCAUCUCUUCAUGCAUCAGAAAAUAGGGAACUAUUAAAUGUACACAGUGCCAACGUUUCAAAAGUUUCUUUUAAUGAGAAAGCUGUAACUGAAACUUCCUUUAAUUCCGUAAAUGUUAAUGGCCAAAGAGGAGAGAAUAGUAAACUUAGUCUUACCCCCAACUGUUCUUCAACUUUGAACAUUACACAAAGCCAAAUACAUUUUCUAAGUCCAGAUUCUUUUGUAAAUAAUAGUCAUGGAGCUAAUAAUGAACUAGAAUUAGUAACAUGUCUUUCAUCAGAUAUGUUUAUGAAAGAUAAUUCACAGCCUGUGCAUUUGGAAUCAACAAUUGCACAUGAAAUUUAUCAGAAAAUUUUAAGUCCAGAUUCUUUCAUAAAAGAUAAUUAUGGACUAAAUCAGGAUCUAGAAUCAGAGUCAGUUAAUCCUAUUUUAUCCCCUAAUCAAUUUUUAAAAGAUAACAUGGCAUAUAUGUGUACAUCUCAGCAAACAUGUAAAGUACCAUUAUCAAAUGAAAAUUCUCAAGUCCCACAGUCUCCUGAAGAUUGGAGAAAAAGUGAAGUUUCGCCACGUAUUCCUGAAUGUCAGGGUUCAAAAUCUCCCAAAGCUAUUUUUGAAGAACUAGUAGAAAUGAAGUCAAAUUACUACAGUUUUAUAAAACAAAAUAAUCCUAAAUUUUCUGCAGUUCAGGAUAUUUCUAGUCAUAGCCACAAUAAACAACCUAAGAGACGUCCAAUACUUUCUGCCACUGUUACUAAAAGGAAGGCCACCUGUACCAGAGAAAACCAAACUGAGAUUAAUAAACCAAAAGCAAAAAGAUGUCUCAACAGUGCAGUGGGUGAACAUGAAAAAGUAAUAAAUAAUC
rnacentral:lncRNA from 1 species